CAUCAGCCAAAGGCAGUGACUUGCGUUGAGGCUUCACGCCAGCUGAGCGCAGCCUCAUCUCAUGAGGAACUGUAGGCCUUGCCAAAACUAAGGUGCUGUGUGUGACGUGCUCCCAUCCCUGGCUGUGGCAGGAGGAUGUCGGGAUCUUAGGCCCUACCCCUCCCCCAGUGGAAGGACACGGUCCCCAAAAGACACCCUGUCAGCUCAUUAUCACCACCCAGCUCUGCUUUCCCAAAGACAACAUUGCUAACGCAGUCCCAGAACAGAGCUGAAUUGCGGAGAGGAGGAGUGGGGCCAGAGAUGGUUUCAGGGAGGCUCUGAGGGCAGUGCAGAUGGCAGCAGUGGGGGGAGCAGAGCGGCCCUCUUGGAUGUUUUGGCAACAGGCCGGAGCACCCCUUGUGAGUGAACCAAAGGGUUUACAAUGAAUCUCCUCUGUCUUCCUAAUUCCAGGGAGAUCUGCUGGACGGCCAAGCUUCGUCAGGUGCUUGAGCACUACAAGUGUAGAUGGAGAGCACUUAAGGCGGAUAAGGUACCUCCUGCAGAAGGAGAGCUCUAAGUCCAGACUGCUGCCAGAGAUCCAGGCAGUGCCUAAAGCCCCAGAGCAGCCUGUGAGCUGUGAGAUGCAGGGCCAGGCAGGAACCGGAAACCAAGAUGAACUUGGCCAGCACGAAGAACUCAGCGUGUCAGGUUCCGUUCUGAAGCUGAAAAUGACCACCAUGAGGGUGCAGGGUUGAAAGUGAAACCAAGACCUCACACCCUCGGGCAUCUUGAGGAAGUCACCAUCUUCCAGAAAAGAUUCCACAUCUUCCUCAAGGCCUGAGUCAGCCAGUCCACGGAGACCAAAGGCAGACAUCCAGGCUGGCAUUUGUCGCUAAGGAUUCAUUCAAACUUCACAAGGAGAGAUGAGGCGAGCACAGGAGGAACGUGAGAAGGAGACCAAAGACAGACCAACCAGGCUGCCACCUGUGGCUCAGGAUUCAUUCAAACUUCACAAGGAGAGGAUGAGACGAGCAAAGGAUGAACGUGAGAAGGAGACCAAAGGCAGACCAUCCAGGCGGGCACGUCUGGCUCAGGUUUCAUUCAGACUUAACAAGGAGAGGAUGAGGCGAGCACAGGAUGAACGUGAGGAGCCGGCAGCAUCUACAUCUCAUGAUGACUCCAGCCGGUCUGAGGGGUCCUCCAUUGACAGAUCUGGAUGGCUGCCACCCAUAAAUUAAGUUAACAUGGUCUCGGAACACCAAACGCCCACCUCUCAGGAAUAGCACAACCUAGCCACGCUGAUGCAGGCGUGGGGUGCCCAGGACAAACAGAGCACCAUUUGAGACUGCAAAACAGAUGCAUGAAUACCACCUGCAUCAUAUCUAAAACGAGACCAGGCUGCCCAGGGCCCCAUCCAACCUGGCCUUGAGCAUCUCCAGGGAUGGGACAUCUACAACCUCUCUGGGCAUCUGGUUCCAGUAUCCCACCACUCUCUCUGGAAAUAAUUUCUCCCUGAUAUCCACUCUUAACCUCCCCUCCCUCAACCCAAAACCACUUCCCCUUGUCCUGCCAUUAUCUACCCUUGUAAAGUGUUGGCUCCCCUCCUGUAUGUAAACUCCCCUUAUGUACUGGAAGGCCGCAAUGAGGUCACCCUGUAGCCUUCUGUUCUCCAGGCCAAACAAGAAGAUCUAGAGUGAAACGUAGAGGGGAAAAACAGCCAAUAAAGCUUUAUCAAGGGCCUAUCCCUUAUAAAUCCCCAAAA